AGUGAUUUGCCCAGGAUCACACAGCUAGAAGGUGUCUGAGGCUAGAUUUAAUUAAAUGUUUCUUUUACAGAACAUAUUUUGGGGGGUUGUUUUCUUACCCAUUUGUUAAUCUUUUUUGUUUUAUUGGCUUGCUUAACACAUUUAUGUUUACAAUUUUGAGAGCUAGGUUUAUAUUUGUCUCUAAUAUUGUUUUUACCCCCUUCUUCCUUUGCAAACAGUAAUUUCUUUAAUUCAGUUACUGUAGCUUAAUGCAUUUUAAGGCAACUCUUCACCUGCUCUGUUCCUCUCUCCCUGAAAACCUCCCUCACCCCCUACCCCAGUACCUUUCCCUAGUUUUAGACUUUAGAUUUUUCUUGCUUCUUUUUAUGUAGUUAUUGAAAUUGGUUUUUUCUUCUCAGAUAUCAACUUGAAUCCCCUUCCUUCUACUUUGCUUUGUCUUUGUUUUUAAAGUUUCAUUCAAGUACCUUUUUUGAACAAGAAUUUCUUUUCCCUUAUUAUAUUCAUUAUUUAUCUUCCCUUUCUGUUCUAGACUUUAUUCUUAGAUUAAUAGCUCUAAUACUUUUAAAAUCCUCCUUUAAUCUCUGUGUUCUUAAUGGAAUUAAAAUUUUCUAUGUAGCUAUGAGUUGCCUUCUCUAAACAGUUUCUAUUACUGCCUUGUGCAUAUUUCCCCCUAUCCUGCUUUAUUCUUUUAUAACUCACCCUUAGAAAUAUCAAUUCAUACAGGUGAUAGGCUAUUGACUCAUGUUGGAUAUUUUCCUCUUUUCCUGAUUGUGCAGUUCAUUAUUAGCCUUUGCCCUCCCUGUGGCCCAUCUCCGCCCCCCCCCACCAUUUACUUUGAAAUUUCUUCCCUGAAUCUAUUCCUUCUUAGUCUUCCAGGUGUUAUUUGCCUCCAGAAGCUCUGAUUCUCCUCCUGAGUCAAAAUGAAUGGUAUCUACACACCAAAUCCCUGUAGACAAAACCAAUUGUGAAGUCUCCAUCUCCUUUUAAAGAAUCACUUUUUCUCCAUUAGAAACAUUCAUCAGUGGUACCUCUUCCCAUUACAGAAACAAGAUUUUCCCCUUAUUUUCAGUACCUCCCUUUUGGUCUACUCCUAUUCUUCUGUAGGCUCUGUUUUUCACGAGUGAGUAUAAGAAUUAUUUUCCCUUUAUUUUUAGCUUUUGACUUGAUUAAAGUAUUUCACAUAUUCCCCUCUUAACUUUGUCAUCUCCUUUUUAUGUAACCUCUCAUUCAAUAAUUUAAUUAACAGAAUAAUUUGAUUCACCUACAGGCGAUAGGAGUAUUAUGAGAUUUAGUCCUAGAUGUUUCAGGCCCCUUUGUUUACUUCUGUUCGACUUCAUUUAGACUUGUCUCUUGAUUCAUUUGGAAAGAAAUCUCUUAAAAAUCUCCUGUUGUUAAUUUAUUGAUGUCCUUGGUUACCCCCCUUUGUUACCUUUUGUGUAUUUCUGUUACCUGGGAUAUUUAAGAAGUAAAUAAUCUCUACAGGUCUACUUUUCUUUAUAGGAAUGUUUUGAAUUCCUCCUUUUUAUUGAACUUCUGUAUUUAUGGUUAGGCUCAGAUUUGAAAAGUAGGUCAUAUCACUUUGUGUUACAUCUUGAACGUCUUUGGUCUUCAGAAUACAUUAUUCCAUUCCCUCUUGUAGUUUCUUAUGGGUACAGAAAAAUCUUGUGAUAUGUUAAUUUACUUUUUCUGUUAUAUUUGAUGGUCCUUCUUGUUUGUCUGCAGAAUAAUUGUUGUUUAUGUAUGGAAUUUCUAAUUUCAGCUCCUUUAUGUCUUAGAGCUCAUUGCAUAAAAUGCUGGACCUAUGUCAGAUGCAUGAAUGCAAUCUGACCUCAAGCACUUACUAGCUGUUACUUAACCUUUCUCUGCCUCAUUUUCCUUAUCUGAAGAAGGGAGAUAAUAGCACUUACCUUUAUGGAUUGUUGUGAAGAUAAAAUGAGUUGAUAUUUGUAAGGCACUUUGCAAUGCUAAUUAUUAUUGUUUUUAUUUUUCUGGAGGCAAUCUAUAGAUUUUUUUUCAAUUGGCACUUUAUUUUCUUUAUUUAGAAGAUUUUUUAGGUGUUCAAUUUUUUUAACAUGGAUUUUUCUAGAUGUUUUAUCUCUGUGCAUCCUGUCCUUUUAGAUCAGUAUGUUUGUAUGGAGAACAUGUUUCUUUUAAUAUUAUUGUUUUAUUGCUUCUCUUUUUCUAGAUUGUCCUUCACUUCCUUUUACUUACAUUCUUUUUUUUUAAAACCCUUACCUUCCAUCUUAUACUUUGGCUCCAAGGCAGAAGAGUGGUACAGGCUAGGCAAUGGAGGUCAAGUGGUUUGCUCAGGAUCACACAGCUGGGAAGUGUCCGAGACCAGAUUUGAACCUAGGACCUCCUGUCUCUAGGCCCGGCUCUCAAUCCACUGAGCUACCCAGCUGCCCCCUACUUACGUUCUUAAACAAUAAUUUUCUCUUGUUUUUUGGGUGAGACUUGCCACUGUGAAUUCAAGUUUUUCUUUUCUUCUGGUUAUUUCUGUUGCCCACGCUAUAAAUUUUACUUUCACAGUUAUCAUUUCUGUUUUAGGCUAUUCAGGGAUAUUGUGCUAUGGUUCUAUGCUUUCUUGGGAAUCCACAGAGUCCUCAGUCUCAUCAGAUAUUGAUUCAUUUUUCUUUGUCAUGCAGUAUUCAUAUAUGCCUGAAAUCUUCUACCAAAUCUGGAAGCCAUAUGUUAUUCAUAGCUUCCUUAUUGGUUUAUCUGCUUAUGCUCUCUGAUAUUUACCCUCUUUAAGCUGAUUUGAUGACAAAUCAAGGUGAGCAGCCAGGUAGGAAAAGAUGGUGUUUGCCCAGGUCCCUCUCAAACAGAAGAUCUGGGGAAAGCUCUCUGAUCUCUACCUUUUUUUAAUCAGAAAGAUGAUGGGGCCAGAGGUACUGAGGUUUUGAGUUUCAGAUUGUUUUCAUAUUAGAGGAAAAGUUUCUGGAGAUAGGUAAGUACAAGUAAGCACCAAACAAGUCCAGGUAAAAGUCUCCUUUACUGUUCAUAAAUAUACACACAUCUUUCCAAAUUUCUCUGAAACCAUCCCCUUCAUAAUUUCUUAAAACACAAUAGUAUUCUGUCAUUUAUAUACCAUAAUUUAUUCAACUACUCCUCAGUUGAUAUGCAUCCCCUCAGAUUCCCAUUCUUUGCUACUUAAAAAAAUAUAUUAUUUUCUUAUAUAUCCUUGGUUUGUUUUGUUUGGAACAAAUUCCGCCCUUAACCUACUACCCUCCCCACUAAUUCCCUCCUUUCCCUUCUCUCCUUUCCUUCCUAUUUCCUUGUUGAGCAAAAUGUAGUUUUAUACUCAAUCACCCCAAUAUAAAUAACUACAAUCAUAAGGAACUUUUUUCUGGCAUCAAGACUAAAUUUUUAAAAACUUUUCAAAACUUGCACACAUCACUACUAAUCUGUACUCAGAGCUGAAAAUGAAAAAUCUUAACUGCUUUUUUGUUUCAAAGCUUACGAAAGAGAUGAAAAAACUUUUUAAAUUUUUAUUUAAUUGAUGAAUUUAGAGUAUUUUUCCAGGAUUACAAAAAUGAUGUUCUUUUCCUCCCUUCCCCUUACCCCCCUCCCAUAGCCAAUGCACAAUUCCACUGAGUUUUACAUGUGUCAUUGGUCAAGACCUAUAUAAAGAAACUUUUAAUGCCCAUCUGAUACUACUUCUUUAUUUGGGUAAAAAUUCAGAUUUUUUUCAUUUACUACUUCUUUAUAAUGGUUUGAGUAAUUUCACUGUCUUUGCCAACCUUUCUAAACAUUACCCACUCUUUCUAAAAUAUGAUUUCUAGAAUUUAAAUAAGUUAUAAUUUUUAAAAAAAGAAAUUAAAGUAAAAAUAGAUUGAGAGGCUUGAGAUGGUUUAAAUGGGUCAUAAAUGAGAAAUCUAAAAUUUUUAAAAUAGACCAUAGUAUUCUAAAUUCAGCACAUUGCUUUGGUCCCAUGCUACCUAGACAAUGUUAUCUAUUAGUGGUGAAUUUAGAACUGUUUAAAUGAGGAAAAUCUAGUAGGCUUUUGAUAUGCUGAAAUAUUGCCCAAAUUGGUCACUUAGUAGAAAAAGUUCUGUCAUUUAUCAAGUUAAUGGUAUUAGGAUCUCCUUUUAAAGGUCACCUCUGGUAGCAGGCUUUGUGUUGGCGUGGAACUUAUUAAAUAUUCACCUCUCUUCCAGUGUCUUUAAUAGAUUCUUUCCCUCAAAAAGUUUAUGCUUUUUCAUGCUCAUCCCAGAUAAUUUCUGAAAGGAGGACACUCCCUCUCUCAAAUUAUGUGUUUAACGGAUCACUGGUAAAGAAAAUUGGAAUCUCAUUAAUACUCCACAAAGAAGAUGUGGGCCCAGUGAGAGGAAGAUCUUAGUGCAACAUAUCUAAUAACCAUAAAGUUAUCUAAACAAUGCAGUGGAGCCCCUGAUGAUACAGGGGAGAUACUCAAACAUAGUGUGGAUGCCUCUCAGACCCAGAUGUUAUAGGAGGGAUUUGUCUACUUGGUGAGAGAACGAACUAGGGACUCAUCUAUUUUCUAGUUUCUAGGUCCUUUCAUCUCAUAUUCUCAGUCAAUGAGAAAAUUGGACUGGUUACAGGAAAAAUCCAUUGGAACUGUCUUUCUUAUGAGGUCCCUUCAUGUAAAUUAGGAUUUUUUUCCUGCAAAGAGCAAGAAAUUCCUUCCAAUGCACAUGAAAAGAUUGCAAGAGGCAAUUUGCCCUAUUCUGGGAUGUCACAUGAAGCUGAAUAGCAUUAUUUGUCCCUAGCAAACUUAGGAUAAAUGGGGGAAACCUAGUAUAUAUUUAUUAUUCUUCUGUUAUUGAUUGCCUGCUUACAGACUUGCGGAAGUCUCUAAGCCUUUCUGUAUGCCCCCUUUUCCUGCUUUGCCAAAUAAUGGCCUAUGUGACUUCUAAGGUCAUGUAGACCAACUUUGCCUGAAUCUGUGAUCCCAUAGGAAUGACAUAAGCCCUUUUGGGAUACCUUACUAUGACGUGUAAGUGCCCCUUGGUUUGACAAAGGCUUAGUGAGAAGAGGGGAAACUGUCAGCUCCUGCAAGCUAGAGAAAUGUUAAAGAGUAUUUGAUCUGUGAUGGGAUGGACUGUGUCAACUGUCAUCCAAAGUCCAGCCUGGCCAAGUUGUGAGACCAUCUGCAGGUUGGCCACAAGAUGGUGCUCUUUUUAGCCUUAACAUUUCCCAGAGCCAUUCUACCAAAACUGGUUGUCAUGUGCUAUAUACUAGCCAGUGUCUCAUAAAAGUCAAAACAGAUUUGGGGUGCUGCAGAUAGCUGGUGGUAGAAAUGUGUGGAGGAAGGACCAAUGUGGUGGAGAAUAUUAAGCUUUCUACAAUCUGAGACCUUGGGUGGGAAACUAAACUUACAGUUCCUAGAGGAAAGCAAAUACUUGACUAAAGCCACUGUAUCCUAAUCUGGGGUUGGUGCUAGAGACUGAUUCCCUACGUUCAAAAGGAGUGGGCUGUGGUCUUGACUUUUGGGUAAAAUUUGCUGAGACCAGAAGUUGCUGUCAUAAAGGAAAGAUCAGAGGGGAGAGUACUUUGUCUAAUUUUGUAUUGGAAUUUGAAUACAGUGAAACUUACAUGUCCUGCCCAAACAGAUUACUUAGAAGUAAUCCACCAGGCCAACUUGGCCAAAACAACAGUUCAGAUGGCAGGCUAGCAUCAUCACCUGGGAGCUGUAGCAAACAAUAGUGAUGAUGGUGAUGGAGCAUUGACUGUCUACUAGGCGGAACCAAAUGCUAAGGAAAGAUGAGAGACCAUCUUGCCAGAGACCUCACCUAGUAUGUGACUGGAAAUAACUGAAUCUAUGUAGAGCUGUCCAGGAUUGUAAAGAUUAUUUUGUACAAGCCCUUCAUUGUCAGAGGAAGAAACUUAAGGCUCAGAGUUUUUGUGACGUGCUCAAGAUCACAAAACUAACUACACCUAACCCAUUCCUAUAUUCUCCUGCUCCUCUUCAUCAUCUCUCCACCAUGUUUUAAAUGCUACAUUAUAUUUUCUCUAGGUCAGGAUUGGUCUUUAAAACCCAUCAAUCUGCACCUUCAUUUUAGUAUUCUUUUCAUUUGUAUUAUUAUAACUGUGUACGUUGUGCUAUCUGUGUUUCUCCAAAUUACUCAUUUUUGUCAUUAGAACAUAGUAAUAUUCUAAUUCAGUUAUACACUACAAUUUCAAAGUUGUUUCCCAAUUUGUGGGUGCCUACUUUAUUUCUAGUAGACCAAUUUUUGGAGAUCCUACAGAUGCCUCUCUUAUGUGCCAUUUUUGAAAAGAAUUUUUAGCAAUAUACGACUGAUCAUUUUCUUUAAAGAAACUGCCUGUAACCUUUGAAGGUUAUUUACUCUUUGAUGAUUCAUAUUCAUACCAUGUGGUUUGCAUUACUUAAUAGACAUUACUCUACUACCUUUCCUUUUUAAGAAAAGUUUUACUAUUAAUUGUUAAUGAAUAUUUUAUAUUGAACAUUUGAAUUAUUCAUUUCUACCUAUGAUCUCCUAGGUAACUUUUACCAGGCUUAUAAUCUAUUCGUUGUUUCUCCUUUGGGGACUGAAAAUGUUUUUCCAUUUGACUGGGCCUCUUUUGAACUUCCACUCCUAUAAUGCAACCUUACCACCUUACCAUUCAGGCAUUGCCUUUCAAAGAAAGGUGCCUUAAUUCUUUUUGCUUUGUCCUUAUUUCUCCUAUUCUGAGUAUGUUUUUCUCAGGUAUUCUGUGAAUAGCAUCUGCUUGAAAAACUAACCUUUUGAAUUGAUCUAUUUUGAUUACCCAGUUAAAUUAGAUUCACAUUCUCUAGUGUCGCUUCAGGAAAGAUGUCUUAAAUUUCUUUUAAAUUGAGAAGAUUUUACUUAUUUUAAAAAGCUAUUGGUAGAUCUUGGAUGAUCAUAAAUGACUUGCUAAUCUAUAUACACUUUGGAGUUCAGUACUAGUCUUUUCCCUAAACUUCAUUAUACUAUAAUCUUUAAAUAUUUUAUUUUUAUCCAAUUACAUGUAAAACAAUUUUUAACACUAGUUAUCUAAAAUUUCGAGUUUCCCAUUUUCUCUCUUCCCUAUGACAGUAAGUAUGAUAUAGUGGAAAACAUUUCCAUAUUGGUCAUAGUAUAAAAGAUGACAUAUCAAAAAAAAUCUCAAAGAAAAUAAAGUUAAAAAUAGUAUGGUUUGAUCUGCAUUCAGACUCUUAUCAGAUCUUUUUCUGGAACAUUUUUUAUCAUCAGUCCUUCAGAGUUGUCUUUUAUAAUUGCAUUGGUGAGAAUAGCUAAAUCUUUCACAAUUGCUCACCAUAUAAUGCUAUUACUGUGUGCCAUGUUUCCCUGGUUCUGCUUACUUCACUUUUCAUCAGUUCAUGUGAAUCUUCACAGGUUUUUCCAAAAUCAUUCUGCUUAUUAUAAUUUUUUAUGGUCCAGUAGUAUCCCAUUACUAUCUUAUACCACAACUUGUUUAGGCAUUCUCCAAUUGAUGGACAUCCUCCCACUUUCUUAUUUGCCAGUACAAAAAGAGAUACUAAAAAUAUUUUUGUACAAAUAGAUCCUUUUCAGUUUUUUUUAUAUCUUUGGGAUACAAACCUAGGGGGUGAUAUUGCUAAAUCAAAGGAUAUGCAUAGUUUUUAACCCUUUGGGCAUAGUUCUAAAUUGUGCUCUAUGAUGGUUGAAUCAUUUCACAACUCCACCCAACAGCAUCAUGUUAUAUUCUUGAAGGCUAUGAUAAAAUUAAAUCCAGAAUAAAUUCAAUGACUAGUAUCGAAUCCAGAGGUUAGACAACUACAUUGUUUGAUUUUGCUUAACUGUCUAAAGAAAGACAGGAUAAGGGACUGUUCUACGUGUAGGGAAAAGAUUGGGCCGCCUCCCCUCCCCCAUACACGCACACUCUUAUUUAUUUAUAUAUUUAAUUUUAUUCAGAAAUAUUUUAUUUUUCCCAGUUACAUGUAAUGACAAUAUUCAACAUGUUUUCUGAAAUUAUAAGAUCCAAAUUGUUUUCCUCUCUCUCUCUUCUAAUUUGAUCUGGAUACAUUAAUGAGUUGUUUUAAAAGAAUGGUAUGCCAUCAGACAUCAGGACCCUAGCCUUUCCUAACUAAGAACUUUUAAAAGUGAGUGGCAUCAUCUUUCUCCCUAGCACUCCCUAUAUCCAUUUAAUAAACUUUUGUAACAAAUUGGUAGUUAGGACAGAGAGGAUGUUCUAGGCCUCCGUACUUGUUAGUGUAUCCUCUUCAAACUUAGCUGUUCAUAUGUUGUCUCACCAGAGGAGUAUGUAAGUUCCUUAAGGGUAAGCAUUAUUUUUUCCUUUGUUUUUAUAUCUCUAGUAUUUUAUGUGCCUUAUACUUGGGGGCCGCUAACAAGUAUUUUUUAGAAUAGAUUAGAUUAGUAUGUUGUAUUGAAGUGUAAAGUCUUGGACAGCCAGCCUGGCAAGAGACCUUGUAUGUGUCUGUUCUCUGAUAACCAUAGUUUAAAAAAGCCUUUUCAUCAAAGGUUGCAAGAUUUUUUUUCCCAUAGUAAUUCCUAAACGCUGUCUCCUAAAACCCUGAGGGUUAAAAUUGCAUUGGUAGAAGAACAGAGGCAUUUUGAAGUGUUAAAAUAUAUAGUUUAACUGUUAUUUUUAGUUACUGUCGUUGAUUAAGAACUGGAAAGAACCUUAGAAAUCAGUUUUAUAAGUGAAGAAACUAAGGGUCAGAUAUAACAGGUGACUGAGCUAAAGUUAUUCAGGUAAUAAAUGGCAGAGUCAGGAGUUUUAACUUAAAUCCUCUGACUACCAUUUUGUUUCCAUUAACUCUUUUCUUCCCUAGGCUGACUAUAAUUCUUAUAGAUUCAUACUGCUAUCUCCAAAUUAAGAUUAUGUCUAAUAUUUAAACUUACUUUUAAUGGAAAAAAUGGGGGAAGAUCAUAAAUGUGCCUAAGUCGAGACUACUAAAGUGCAGGUUGCAUGGUGUUCUUUCUGAACUAAUUUACUUGUUCUUCAGACAACAUGUAAAGCAGUCUUUAAAUGACUAAAGUCAGCACUGCCAAAAUACCAGGAGUUGGGUAGUAUUUUGAGGGACAUCACACGGUGACAUCAGUAUUUAAGGUCAAAAUCUGGCCAUAGUAAAAUUAUCCUUGAAAAUCCUAUAAGUUUGCUGGUUUUGAUUUCAUGUGUAUUAGAUAGUUGUUCUUCUCUUAUACCAUAUUAACAUAUAUUUUAAAAGUUUGAAAGAAAUAAAGAUGAAAUAAUUUUUAAAAUUUUUAUUGAAUGGUUCAAAACCCUUUUUUUGCUCUCCCUAAAAUAUUACUUUAAUUAUUAUGAAUAUGCUUCAGAAAAUGCCUAUGCAUGUCGUAAGGGAUUGGGAGAACUUGAAAUAAUUAUUUGCUAGUAAACAAUUAUUUGUUUAAUGUCAUCAACGUUACUAACCAAGAAGGUGAAUUUCUAAAGGUUUUUUUAAAUGACAUACAACACAAAAGUCAAAUAAUAUUCCCUAACAAUCAGGGAACAGUUUUUCAGAAGGAUUCAUAUUUUUUUUUAUUUAACUAUUUACCAUAUACAAUGUUAAAACAAACAAAAGCGAAUUGUGAAUUUUGAUUUCUACUUAAAAGAUUUUCAUUAUUAACUCAUUCCAUUUGUCAUGCCAUAAUUUCCUUUUCAGGUUAUUUUAUUUGUGAUGCAUUAGGAGGUACUGCAGGAAGACCAGUUUGACUGGAAUAUAGAAGGCAGGAAGGGAUGUAAUACAUAAUAAAUCUAGAAAGUUAGUUUGGGGUCAGACUGUGAAGGGCUUUAAAUGAAAAUUAGAAUUUAUAUUUGAUCCUAAAGUCAUUAGAGAAGUGCUGAACUUUACUGAGGAGGAGAAUGAACCUGGUCAGACAUAACGUUAAGAAAGUUGUUUUGGCAGAUAUGUGCUUGAAUUAGAUUGGUGACUCUGAGGAGAGAAGGGGAGGGCCUAGGGCAUAUAUGUCGUAGAGAAAUUUUAAGAUCUGGCAAUUGAUUUACAUGCAUACGUUAAGGGGACUGAUUUGAGGGGGAUGUGGUACCAGUUGAGUAUUCUAUAGGUCGAUCGAUGUAUAGCAGAGGGAUUGGAUUUGUUCUGCUUGGUCCUAGAGGGCAGAACUAUCUCUAAUGCAUGUAAGUUACAAAGAGUCAGAUGUUAGCUUCAUGAGAAGAAAAACUUAACUAUGAGAACUGUCCCAAAGUAGAAAAGGCUAUUUCGGGAGGUAGUAUUUUCCUGCAUUAAAGAAGAUCUAUUGGGGUGUUGUGGGAUAAGGGAGAGUUAACUAAUAAGAAGCCACUACUUAUUGAUGGAUCUGUUGUUGUGUCAAACACUUUGUGACCCCAUUUGGGGUUGUCGUGGCAAGGAUACUGAAGUGGCUUGCUAUUUUAUGUCUCCAGCUAAUUUGACAGAUGAGGUUAAGUGACUUGCCUAGGUCAUACAACUAGUAAAUGUCUGAAGUCAAAUUUGAACUGAGAAGAUGAUACUUCCUGACUCCAAGCCUGGCACUAUCCAUUGUAUCACUUAACUGCCCCUAUUGAUGUCCCAUUGUAAUUCUAAUAGUUUGGGCUCUUAUAAUCUUAUAUCGGCAUUUUUGAAAACAAAACUUCAGAAUGGUUAGAGAAUGGUGUAGAUGAGGACUUUGGAGGGGUUUUGUAUAUGUUCAGAAGUCUCAUGAACUUGUCAUCCAUCUUUUACCUUUGGUCAUGGAGUUUCUUGGCCAGUUGUACCCAACAACUAGUGGUCUAAGAGGUCCUUUAAAACAGGUAUACAAACUAAUAUAUAUAUAUGUAUGUAUGUAUAAAGUGUGUGUGUGAGAGGGGGGGAGAGACACAGAGAGAGAGAGAGAGAGAGAGAGAGAGAGAGAGAGAGAGAGAGAGAGAGAGAGAGAGAGAGAGAGAGAGAGAGAACCCUCUGAGCACACUCUGGUCCAAAUUCUCAUCCAAAGAUCAGUAAGCAAAUUUCAUUGUUCAUCAGAAUGAGGAUUAUCUCUAUCAGAUAGUUGCUAUACAGCAAGAACUUAGCUUUACCAACUUCUAACAGUAAUUUACUUGCACACAAUGAAGUCAGGCAGAGAAAGUACAUGCAUAUAAGGAAGAUAAAGAGGACUAAAUUCUGUGAGAGAGGGAGAGAGAAGACAUGCAUACAAAACACUGGUGCAGAAAUAGAGGCAACAACUUGCCAGGCAGGAACCUUUGUGGAGACAAAAUAGAACACUAAAAGAUCCUUUUAUAACCAAGUUCCAUUGAAUAUUUCUUAAAGGGUGCAUGUGAAGCACCUCAUUUGGCAAAACCAAAAAAGAUGGGGGGGGAUUUUGUAGUUUUCUCUCAAUUCUCAUAAAGAAUGAGGGAGCUCAAAGACAGUCUCAACCUGAAUAUCCUUGAGAGCAGGGGCCAUUCCUAGCCCACCUGCAAACCCUGCUUCAAGGGUAGAAAACAAACGCAAGCUUUCUUUUCAAGUCAUCAAAUAACAAACUACCUUUCUUCACCCCCUAACUCCAGCAAAAUAAAACAGUAACAGAAAAAACCCAACCCUUAGAGAUAAGUACCUCUACUGCUUGGUCUUAUUUUUGUUAAACUGUAGAAUUGUUAUCAUCAGUACUCUCUGCUACCCUUUGCUUUCCCAUGCUCAGAAUAUAUUAAAAGUAUUCUUUGUUCUCUUAUCUCUUUGUUUCUUUUUGGCUCUGCAAGUAUUUGUUUCUUUUUUAUAUAUGCAACUUUGCCAACUGCAGAAAAGAUCAUUAUGGAGCUGUUAGGUAAUCUUCAUCAGGAAUUGUGGAAGGCAGAGGAGGGGCAAGCUGUAGGGACAUUUUGCAGACUGGUUUUUUUUUUUGCCAGAUUUUGGUCUGGGAAUUAAAGACAGACUUGCAUGGUUUUUCUGAGGCCCAGUUGCUUUUAAUUCUCUUUUGACCCUGGGUAGAGUUUAGACCCAGAAUUACUAAAUCACGCAAGGAAAGGCAUAAAAUACUCAGACCUGUGAUCAGUCGGAUGAAGGAAGAAAAACAGUUAAAUCUUCAGAAAAAUCCUAUCAUCACUUUCCAGAGGCCAUGUCUCCAAUCCUUCCCGUUCCUGGAUAACUGCUUUGGACAGGUAUUCAAAUUGUCAAAUGUGCCCCUGCAUAAGCUUGAGGAUGGCUGUAGAGUAUCUUUCCUGAGCACUUUCUCUAGGCAGCAGGCCAACAUACUUGGCAGUAGCCUCCUAUAGGUUUGCUCCUUUGCUACUCUCUCUUCUUGCAAUCCAUCUUGUAUGCUUCUGCUCAAGUAAUUAAUAUUUCUAAAAUGUUGCUUUGAUCAUGUCACUUCCCUGCACAAGAACUUUAAAAGUUACCUAUUGAUCACUUCUAGUUAAUCAUUCAACAUAUUUGUUUCCAUGUACAAAAAGUAUCUCUCAUCAUGUAUCCUGAGUUAUUACCUCUAUCUUGGGACAUGGGUACCAUGCUUGAUCACUGACCCUCUGAAAUUGUCAUUUUUCAGUGUUGAUCAAAAUUCUUUAGUCUUUCAAAGUUGUCUCUGCAGUGUUAUUAUUCUGUAAAUCAUUCUCCUGCUUUCGCUUGCUAUAUUCUACAACUUGACCCAUCAGCAAAAUUAUAUUUUCCAAUUAUUUAUGUCAUCUUUAUUUCCAAAAAUAUUUUAAAUAAUAACAUUUUAUCAUAUCAGUAUUGACUUUUCUUUAGUUAUAACAUGCAAUAAUUUUAAAUGUUUUUUUAAUUUUGCUGUAUUGUUUAUAAUAGACUAGAAUCAGAAAUGCAUUUUCUUAACCUUUGUUUUUUUAUUCUAUAAAUAUAGUUAUUUUUCAAAGUUUUCAAUGCGUAUUUCCCUUCAGUUGGAUAUUUAGCAUAUGUUACAUAUAAUUAACUUUGAAUAGUGCUAAUACAAAUAAUGGAAUCAGCUCUUAGUUAUUUGCACUAAUAAGACCCUAGCUUUAGGUCUUAUGUGUCUUUAUAGGUAAACUCAUAAGCAUUUCAUACAUUCUGUAUUUAGUGGAGUUCUCUUUUGCUAAAAAUUUUUGGCAAUAUAUAAACAUUUAGACCAUUUAUGUGGGUUUAUUCAAUAUUCCUGUACCUUUGCUGAAGUUAUUGUUUUAAUUUUUUUAGUUGACUCUAGGGCAGUGGUAUCAAGUGGGAAAAUAAUUGCAUCUUGGCCCCAUAUUGACUCAGAAAACUACAAAUUAACAUUAUCUAUGUUGUUAUAUUUUUAUUUACUUUGUUAAACAUUUCCCAAUUACAUUUUAUUUGGUUCACAGCACUCUGGGGGUUUUGUAGAUACUUUUUAUGAUUACCCUUUCAAUUUUUUUUCUUUAUUCCUAUACCUAGCAUUUCUAGCAUUGUAUUAGCUAUUAGCAAUUAAAAUGGACAUCUCGACAUUACCAGAUUAAUAUUAUUUAUGCCCUUGAUAUAUAAUGUUGGCUUUUGGUUUUAGAUAGGUAAUACUUAGCAUGUUAUUUAGUAUUUAUGACAAGAAUAGUUAAUUGUAUUUUCUCAAAAGCUUUUUUCUGCAUUUCCUGAUACAAUCAUGAUUUUUGUUCUCAUUAUUAAUGUGGUCUGUUAUGUUGAUGAUUUUCUUAAUAUUAAAUGAAUCUUGAAUUUCUUGUAUCAAUUCACAUGGUCAUAGUAUAUAAUCUUUGUCCAAAUAUAGCUAAUCUGUUUAAAAUUUUUGCAACAAAACUCAUUAGGAAUAUUGGUCUAUUUUUUCUUCAUGUUUUGUCUCUACCUGAUUUAUGUUGCUAGACCAUAUUUCUAGCCUGGAAAGUAAGUCUUAUUUUUCCCCCUACUUUAAAAUACAGUUUAUAUAAUAUUGGAAUUAAUUUGUUUUUUUGAAAAUAUGAGAGAAUUCACUUGUAAAUCCAUGUGAUCCUGGAUUUCUUUUUCCUUUUGGAUUUCAUCUAGGUCUUGUUCAGGGAUUUUUUUUCAAGAGAGUUAUAUUAUUCAUUUCUUGUUCCAUUAAAUCUUGGCAUUUCUAGUUUUUGCAUAUGUUCAACCAUUUCAUUGGCAUGUAAUUGGACAACAUAUUUUCUAAUUCCCUUUAUUCAUUUAUUGUGAAUUCUUUUUCAUUUUUGAGUAGUAAUUUGGUUUUCUUCUUUAAAAUUCAGUUAGCUAACUAUUUUUUCUGCCCUGGUUUUUAAAAUUAAUUCAUUGGUUAUUUUACUUUUAGUUUAGUUUUCAGAAUUUCUAUUUUAGAGUUUAAUUUUUUUAUGUGAUAGUUUUCUAGUUUUUGUUAGUUGUAUACCCAACUUGUUGCUUUGUACUUUUCCCCAGGAUUUUCUUUCAGGAGGUGACCAAUGGAUUCUUUUUGUUUUCAUGUUGUAGUCUGUAGUCUAAGGGAUGUGGGAUGGGCUGUUUUCUUUCAUGAUUUCUAUAAGUAUGAUAUCUAGACACUUUUUUUGUCUUUCAGGUAAUCCAGUGACUCUUAAAGUGAUCUGUGCUCUAUUUGUUUCUCCAGGUGAUUUUUUAAAAAAUACAUGGUACCGUAUAUUUUUCUAUUAUUUCAGUCUUAAAACUUUUGUUUUUAUCUCGUUUUAUGGAGUCAUUCCCUUACCUUUCAUCCAUUUUCAUUUUCAAGGUUCUUGGUGUUUUUGUUUUUAUUUAGAAUAUUUUUCCAUGGUUACAUGAUUUAAUAAUUUUCCUACCCCUCUUACCUCCCCCCUCCUGGAGCUGACAAACAAUUCCACUGGGUUAUUCAUGUAGCAUUGUUCAAAAACUAUUUCCAUGUUAUUCAUAUUUGCAAUAGAGUGAUCUUUUCACAUCAAAACCCUAAUCAUAUCCCCAUUGAACCUUGUGAUCGAUCAUGUUUUUGUUCUGUGUUUCUAUUCCCACAGUUCUUUCUCAUAAGUUCCUCUGGAUUGUCCUGGAUCAUUGCAUUGCUGCUACGUUGGAUUGUUUCACAAUAUAUCAGUCUCUGUGUACAAUGUUCUCCAGGGUCUGUUCCUUUCACUCUGCAUAAAUUCCUGGAGGUCUUUCCAUUUCACAUAGAAACCCUCCAGUUCCUCAUUCCUGUCAGCACAAUAGUAUCCUAUCACCAUCAGAUUCCGUAGUUUGUUCAGCCAUUCCCCAAUCAAAGGACAUCCCUUCAUUUUCCAAUUUUUUGCCAUCACAAAAAGCAAAGCUAUAAAUAUUUUUGUCAUGUCUUUUUCCUUAUUAUCUCUUUGGGGUACACACCCAGCAUGGUAUGACUGGAUCAAAGGGCAAACAUUCUUUAAAACCCUUUGCACACAAUUCCAAAUUGACCUCCAGAAUGGUUGGACCAAUUCGCAAGUCCACCAUCAGAGUAUUAGUGUUCCAAUUCUGCCACAUCCCCUCCAACAUUUAUCACUUUCCUUAGCUGUCAUAUCGGCCAGUCUGCUAGGUGUAAGGUGAUACCUCAGAGUUGUUUUUAUUUGCAUUUCUCUAAUGAAGAGGGAUUUUGAACACUUUUUCAUGUGCUUACUGAUAGUUUUGGUUUCUUCAUGUGAAAACUGCCCAUUCAUGUCCCUUGACCAUUUGUUGAUUGGAGAAUGGCUUGAUUUUUCAUAAAUUUGACUUAGUUCCUUAUAUAUUUGAGAAAUUAAACCUUUGUUAGAGAGUUUUGUUAUAAAAAUGUUUGCCCCAGUUUGUUGUUUUCCUUCUAAUUUUGGUUGCAUUGGUUUUGUUUGUACAAAACCUUUUUAAUUUGUUAUAAUCAAAAUCAUUCAUUUUACAUUUUUAAUGUUCUCUAUUGCUUGGUCUUAAAUUCCUUCCUUUCCCACAGAUCUGAUAAGUUUUAUUUAUGAUUUCACUCUUUAUAUUUAAGUCAUUUACCCAUUUUGAAUUAAUCUUGGUAUAGGGUGUAAGAUGUUGAUCUAAAUCCAAUUUUUCCCAUACUGUUUUCCAAUUUUCCCGGCAGUUUAUAUUGAGUUCUUGUCCCAAAAGCUGGGAUCUUUGGGUUUAUGGAACACUAGCUUGCUGAGAUUAUUUACCCCAAAUCUAUUCCAUUGAUCCACCCUUCUGUCUCUUAGCCUAUACCAUAUUGUUUUGAUGGCCACUGCUUUAUAGUACAGUUUUAAUAUCUGGUACUGCCAGGUGCCCAUCCUUGACAUUUUUUCCAUUAUUUCACUUGAUAUUCUUGAUCUUUUGUUCUUCUGUAGGAACUUUCUUAUAAUUUUUUCUAAUUUCAUAGUUUUUAAUUAUAGUUUUGUGCCCCUUCUGCUAUUUCUUCUUCGAAAUAUUUCCUCUAAUGCUCUCAUUUCUCUUCCAGUUGUGUCAUUUAAACUCUUUCAUUGAUAAAAAUAAUUUUUAAAAAUUUGUUGCUUCUGGAGGAUAUAUCUCAGUAUUGUUUGGUCUUGAUUUGUAUUCUGUUGUAUAUAGUAUUCUAAAAUAUAAAGGAUUACUCAGUCUAGGAACCAACAAGAUUUCAGUGUACCCAAAGUGGCCUAAUCUAAGGCACAGUUUGUUCACUACCUUUCUAGUCUGAUCUUUGGAAGAAAUUUUUUUAUCUUAAUUUAGGUCUUAAUGACACAGCUCCAGGCUUGCUCCUAUAGUUGGAGCUCUAGUAGACUACUAUUGGCCCCAAUCCCAUUAGUGGUUUUGAAGGUUCUGUACAUUCAGAACUAAAGAGCUUCAGGCUCACCCUACCUCCCCCACCCCCUGCUCCUGCCCUGGUUUUUAGGCUUGUGUCUACCUUGGGCACUUAACCUGAAAUCCCAUUCUAGCAUCAGAGCUCACAGGUUUCUAUUACUGCUCCUUGCCUGAUGUAUGUCCUCAGGCCCAUGACUGCUAUAUGCCCAGAUGUAGGCAUAGGUCUUUUCUUCCUUCCCCACUGGAUUUGUAACCCAACUCUGUGAUAGAGCUGCCAAUUGGCCCCUGUUUACUCAGACCUAUUUUUGCUGGAUUCAGAACUGCCUUUUGUCCCAGGAAGACCUCGGUUCUAUUACUGUCCUAUAAGGUUCCAUAUAAUCCCCUCCCGGCUACCUGGGAUUUUCUAAUUUGGAUUUCUGAUACUCAGUCUGGAACUCUUGCUACAUUCUUAUUGAAGAAGUCAUGGGGUAGCACUUAGUUACACAGCUUUCUCUUCUGCCAUCUUUGCUGAUAUGAAAUCAUAAGAAUUUUCAAAGUUGUAAUGAACCAUCAAGUUAAAUAUUCCCAAAAGAGUGCUACUGCAAUGCACCCCAUAAGUGAUCAUCCAGCCAUUACUUAAUGAUCAUAAAUGAAGAAGAAUUUAUCACUUCUAUUGGCUGUCCAUUCUGUUAUUUGACAGAUCCAUAACUUUCAAACCUAAAUUUGUCUAAUAAAUGUUGAAUUGAGAUGAAUUGGUCAUUUCCUUUUUAGGUUUGUUAAAGAAGCGUUUCUUUUUUUUUUUUUAAUAAGGAGGCUACUUGACUUCUGAAAUUGCUUUGAGCUCUGAGAUUCUGUUAUCAAGAAAUGUCUAUAAUGAGUGACUGAUUAUCAGAUGAAGUAAAUUCUUAGCCUCUAAAUAUCAUGAUUCUUUGAUUACCAAACAGCUCCUAGUACACAGCUGUUCUGGAGACUAUGAUUGUAUGGUUUAUAAGGGAGAACAUAUCUAAAGCAAACCCAUCCAUCCUUCUUCCACCUGCCCCAUUCACACCAGCUGCUCCCUUUUGUAUAUUUUAUCAAAAUGAGCUUUUUGUGUGAAGGAGGUUGCUGGGUCUGAAUGCCAGAGCUUAGAAACCAAGAAGAGGCAAUGAUACUAAUGGGACAAAGAUUACAGAAUGCUCUACAGCUUUCCUGCUGGUCAUUAUUUAGCCUGUGCUUGAAGACUUGAAAUAAGAGGAAUCACCUGCUUCUUGAUGUAACUCAUCUUACUUUUUUAGAUAGCACUCAUUGUCAAGAUAUUUUUCUAUUAAAUCAAAAUUUCUAUUAUAUUAUGGUUUACUUAAUAAUUUAUUUAAUUUUUUCUGUCAGUAUUCAUUAAGAAUAUUGGUCUAUAGUUUUCUUUCUCUUCUCUGUCUCUUCUUUUAACUAUCAAGACCAUAUUUAUAUCAUAGAAAGAGAUUAAGUGGGAUCAUUCUUUUCCUGUUUUUGAAUAUAGUUUACAUAAUAUUUAUAAUUCUUUUAAUAUGUCAAUGUGAAUUUUUGGAUGACUCAGUUUACCUUUACUUUUGAGAAGCCCCAAUACUAAGUGCACCUACUUUGAUUUAAAUGUUAAGCACCUUUUUGUUAUAGAGGCUUUUCUAUUGGUUGAAAGUUCCCUCUCGUGAAGCCCAUUUGAUUUAUGACUGUGUGGUGCCCAGAUUAAUGAACCUAUCCCUUUGUUUUGAUUAAAAAGUGGGUUUUCUGAUUACUUGGAAGUUCUUUAUUUAUUUCCAAGUUAACAAAUACUGGAUGGAAUUAACUUAUUAAUUCAUUUGAUCCUAUAGUUAUUUCUUUGAGGGUUCACUUAUAGGUUUACAAAGAAAGACCACAAAUAGUCCUCAUUUUCAAGAAAUUCAGUCUAAUAAAGGAGACAGCAUAUAAGCAAGAUAAAUGAAGGAUAAAUUGACAAACAACAGAGAAAAGACACUGGCAUUUAGAAGUAUUUGGGAGGAAGCUCAAUGGAUAGAGAGCCAGACCUAGAGAUGAAAGGUCCUGGGUUCAAAUGUGGCCUCAGACACUUCCUUAGCUGUAUAGCCCUGGGGAAGCCACUUAACCCCUAUAGCCCAGCCAUUUUUAGCCUGGAACUGAUACUUAGUAGAAGUUCUAAGACAGAACAUAAAGAUUUUUUAAAAGGUAUUGGGAAAGGCUUUUCAAAAAUUGGGUUUUAGCUGGCACUUAAAGGAAGUCAGGAGCAGAAAUGAUGAGGGAGAGAAUUCCAGAUAUGGAGAACAACCAGAGAAAAUUCAGUGAUUUGAGAGAGAUACUAUUGUGUUAGAGGAAUAGCAAGGAGACCAGUCAUUGGAUUGCAGACUAAAUAAGAAAAUCCUGGAGGUAAUUAGAGAACCAGUUUAUUGACUACUAGGGGAGGACAUGGUCAGACCUGCUCUUACGGUAAAGUCAGUUUGCCAGUUGAGUAGUGAAUGGACAGACUGAAAUGGAGAGAGACUUGAGGCAUGGAGACCCACCAGCAAGUAGUGUCCAGGUGUGAUGUGUUGAGAGCCUAUACCAGAAUGGUGGUGGCUUUGUCAGAGGAAAGAAGAAAACAAAUAUAAGAGAUGUUCCAAAGGUAGAUUAGCAAAACUUGGGCACCUUCAAGUUAAUAAGUUAUCUUAAAGUUUUCGUUGCCACCAAUUCUUAAUACAUUCUCCCCUAGAGUUUAUAAUGUACUUCUAGCUAUAAAGAUCAUGGACUACAGGAUCCAUUUGGAAUCCUAGAGAUCAUUUAGUUCAAAUCUUUUGUUUGAAGAAGCUGAGUUUCAAUAUAACUCUUCUGGUUCUUAAACCUUAAAAAGCAAUCUAAAACCCUAUAUUUUUAAACCUGAAAGGGAUUUCAUACAUCAUUUCAUCUAACACUCACAUUUUAUUAAAAAGGAAAGUUAGAGAUUAAAUGAGAUUCGUGGGGCUGUGUAGGUAGUUUAGUAGUGAAGGAGAAGCUAGGACCCAAGGCUGGGGUUAUGGUUGUUUAUUAUUUUAGUGCUCUUACCACACUGCCUCAGCUAUUGUACUUUUAUACUCACUUGAUAGUCUAUUGUAACUAGCAUUUAUUGAGCAUAAGCUUUGUUCUGAGCAUCACUAUAACACAUGCUUUGUUGAUGCUUUAGGAUACAGUAUAGACUAUAUUUCUGAAAAAGCCAUUUUCUUCAAUGCUGCAAUGGAAACUUUUAUAUUACAAUAGCACUUAAGCAGAAACCACCUGAAAAGGGGCACAUAUGUAAGUUCAAAGCUUUCAUUCUUACUAACUCCUCAUUUAGUAGGCAAGUAGCAUAAUUGCCAUAUUUAUGUUUUAGAUGAACCCUAAAUAGAAAACAGACCUUCAUCACAAAGUACUAGAUUUUCUCCCCUUCAUAUAAGUAUUCAAAUAUAUCUUUCUCAUUGGGAAUAUCAGUUCAUUGCUUCUCCUGAGAUGGUCAGCAUUCUUCAUCAAUUAGUCCUCUGGAAUUAUGGUUAAUUGCCAUAUUGAUCAGAGUUCUUAAGUCUAUCAGAAUUGCCUGUUUUUGCAGUAUUAAUGUUACAAUGCAAAUUGUUCUGGUUCUUGUUUAUUUCUGUCUAUAUCAGUUCCUUGUUUUCUUAGAAACACCUUCUUCCAUCAUGGAGCAUAAUAAAAUUAAUUUGACCCCAAAAAAAGAAACACCUUCAUUAUUUUUGCCUACCCAUGAGUAAUUAAUAUCUCUCCAGUAAUUUAGGUCUGUAUUCAUUCCUUCAAAUAGUGUUUUACGAGUUGUUAUUUGACAUGGUUCUUACAUGUGUCUUAGUAGAUAAACUCCCACAUAUUUUUAUAAUUUGUGGGGGGGUAUUUUAUUCUCUAAAAUUAAGUUAACGUUUCCAUAACUUUGAUUCAUUAUCUAGAGUUAUCUAAGUACACUAUCAUGUCUUAUUGCAGACUAUUAAAAAGAGGUAGUGACAAUAGGCAUCCUUGCUUCACCUCUGUUUUCAUUUGAAAAGAAUUAUAAAUUAAUCUCCAUUUUUUGUAUGUUGAAGUUAAUUGAUUCUCUUGGCCAUUUAUUUUUUAGUUCUUUUUUAAUAGUUUCCUUUUCCUCUGAUAUAGAAAUGAACUAAUUGACUUCCAUGAUCAUUUCACACUCUAAAAUUAUGCAUCACACCGAAGGCUACUUUAUUCAGUUGUAGAUUGGAUGUGCUAAACUGAGGGAUUUUAGUAGCCCUGAGAUCCCUUGAAAAUACAACUGACUUUCUAUCUAGCCUUUUGCAGAUUAGGGCAACACACCAAAGGUGACUGACGUAGAAAGAUGAGUAUAACUAGCAGACACCGUUCUAUUCAUUCAACAUGUCUUCCAUUUGCCCCACUUGUACUAGAGACUUCAUUUUCUUGAUGUCAGAAAAAAGAGCAUCAUAUGUAAAUAGGGUUGUUGGGGCAGAACAUUUCUCCCAAAAGAACCAGGGAAGGUAGGAACCCUACUGGAAUAAACAUCUCAUCAUUUCCUAUGUAACAUCCUAAAAGAAUAGUCCUUCAUAGUUUGUGUAAAGAUCCCCAGUAAAUAAUACCUUAGGGUAGUUCAUUCCCCAUUUCCAUAGCUCUAAUUUUUUAAAAGUUUUUCCUUCAAACUUUAUUUUGAAAAAAAAUGCACAAUAAAAUAAAUUGAGCUUAAUUGUAACCUUAAGUUUUGGGGCUUUGUUCAUGGGCUUCCUUCUUCUGGUAGGGAAAUGGAAUCUUUGCUAUCUGAGGUCACUUUCACUUUUUAAGAUUUUAUAUAAUGGAAUGAGCCACGUUAUUUGGUAAUAGGAUGAGGGAAAUUCUGUGGCUUCUUAAAACCCUGACAUUCCUUAAUGGUCUUGCUAAUUUAAAAACCUACCAGUUACAAACACACCAGUGUUAGACUACAACAGUAAACAUAAACAGAAUAUACCCAUCCAAUAUACUAUAAUGACCUUCAGUGGAGUGUUCAAUAGUUAGUGUGUGCAGAAGGAUCAGCACAACUAAUAUAUAGUCUUCCACUCUCCUACUGUCUCCUCCAAAUGCCUCCCUUGUACCAGAUGCUCUAUUGUAUUGAGUGCUGUCAAAUAGAGCAUGCUUGUACAAGGUAAGUUAUUGGGGGUACAACACUACACCUUAAAGUACAAGAGAAGGAAGAGACCUUGCUGUGAAGAAGGUGUGUCCCAUAGCCUGCUCCACAGCAACACUAAGGAUUGAUCAUUGAGACUUUUCUUAAAGAUAUCCAGUGAAUAGAAGCCUGUAGACCUAAGCAGCCCAAUCUAUUUUUAUUAAGUUCUUUUUAAAAAAAAUCCUUACCUUCCAUCUUAAAAUCAUUACUGUAUAUUGGUUCUAAGACAGAAGAGUGGUAAGGGCUAGUCAGUGGAGGUUAAGUGACUUGCCCAGGGUCACAUAGCUAGGAAGUAGCUGAGGCCACAUUUGAACCUAGGACCUCCCAUCUCUAGGCCUGGCUCUCAAUCCACUGAGCCACCCAGCUGCCCCCUAUUUUUAUAAAAUUCUUGAUAUAAGGAACUUUUCCCCCCUUAAUGUCUAAAGUUGACACUCUUGAAAGAAUAUUGAAGUGAAUUAAAUUGGUUAGCCAUUUAUUUCAGAACUAUGUUAUAGAUAGGUUUCCUUCCUCAUAUAUUGAAAUGGACUCAUAUUCUUCUUGGGUAGCUAUCAACACUGAAAUUUUAUGUGAUAGAGUGAUCUCUUGUUCUCUGUAAUAGGUUGGAUAAAAGAUACUCUCAGCAAUCUCAUGCAUAAGAGUUAUUUUGAUAGAGUGUUUUGUUUUCCAGUGAGCCACACUUGGACAUGGUUUGUGGUGCUUAUAGUUUAAGUCUAGUGCUCUCAAAAGGAAAAACCUGCCUAAUUUAUGGACUUCCCUCUUCUUGCCACAUACUUCUUCUGCCUCAUUUGUAUCAGAUGCUUUGUUUGUAGAUUCUAUCAAAAGAGCAUCUUAUACAAAUGAGGUUGUUGGAGCAGAAGCUAGUAGUUGAAUAACCGAAGUACACAGAGAUCCUGAUGGGAUGAAGAUUCAUAUUCAACUUAAAAACAGCCUGGUUGAAUGGCCCUCCAUACUUUGCUGAGCUUAACUGGUCCUGAGAAGUCACCUAUAUGCCUUCGUAGCCAAUUCCAGUUUGAAAUAGCUCUCUAUAUUGGUAAGUUGUGGUGUUUUUUAUCUUAAAUAAUGCCUGAAUUUGACUUUCCUAAAUACAGGUCAAAGUGAAAUAAACAGAGUAAGCAUUCCUUUCUCAGUUAUGUUAUAGUUGGGCUUCAUUUUCACAUACUGAGAUGCAUUUUGACCUCCUAGGUUAACUACCACCUCUGAAAUACUGUGUCAUAGUCUGAUUAUAAGUGUAGAGAACUUUUAAUUUUGUUUUGUUUUCCUUACUAACCUCAUUCAGACUCUCUCGGAAAUGCUUUAGGUUACAACUGGUUCUCCUGGAUAAUGAGCAUAACUAACAAUCCUCCACCUGCUUUAUUUGUACAAGCCGCUUUUUUUGUGUAGUCUAUCAAAUGAAGCGACUUGUGCAAAUGAAGUUGGUAGGGGUGGAACGGCACACUUAGAAGAAUAAGAAGAGGCAAGGAUUGGUGGAAUGAGAGUUUACUGUAAUUUACUCUGUAACAUCUUUGCUGGUAAGUCAUUCACAGUUUAACUGCUACUCAAUAUUGGACAUUUCUUGAGAUAAGGAUAUUUAUUUUGAAAAUGUGGUAUAAUUCUAAAUGCUUUUUCAAGUCAAUUUUAUUGAAUUGUUCAUUUCUGAGUUGUUUGGUUGUUGGAAUAUUUCUUCAGAUAUGGCUAUGGACUAAUCAACAACUGAGAUCACUUUCUAUUCUUCAAUAAUAUGUUAAGUAAUGGGUUAAAUGAGAUACCACCUAGGAUCUCAGGGAUCUGAGAUAUUAUGGAUGAUUUUUAUAACCAAACUCAUACAGACAUCUAUGAUUGACUCCAAAGUAAUAGCAAACUAAUAUAUAGUCUUCCACUCUCCUACUAUCUCCUCCACUUGCUUCCCUUGUAUCAGGUGCUCUAUUGUAUGACUGCUAUCAAAUAGAGCAUGCUUGUACAAAGGAAGUUACUGGGGGUACAGCACUACACUUGAAAAUACAAGAGAAGGCAGAGACCUUUCUGUGAAGAAGGUGUGUCCUAUAGCCUGCUCCACAGCCAUCCUAAGAGAUUGAUCAUUGUGAAUUUGAUUCAAGAGAUCCAGUGAAGAGAAGUCCACAGACCUAAGCAGCCCAUUCUAUUUUUAUACCUCUAAACAUAAGGAAUUUUUUUGUUACUGCUUAAAAUAUAUACCACCAAUUCAAUGUUAAAGUCAAUUAAAUUGAUUAACCAUUUAUUUAAGAAUUUUGUUAUAGAUGACUUUCAUUCUUUCCCUCAUUUAUAUCAGAUGCUCCAUUUAUGGAUACUGGCAAAAAGAGUAUCUUACAUGAAUGAAGUUUUUGGAGAAGCCAACAGCUGAAUGACCAAGCAUAGGCAGAGAUUCUGCUAUGAUGAAGACCCCAAUUCAAUUCAAAAAUAUCCAGGUGUAUUUCCUUCUUCACAAACUGUAAUGGACGCCUAUUCCUGUUCCAUAACCAGGAUAGUUGGCUUCAUCUAGAUCCCGCAGAAGGAUUAACACAACUCGUGUACUUCUCCACUCUCUCACCAUAUCCUCCACUUUGCUUCCUUUGUAUAAGAUGCUCCAUUGUGUAAAUACCAUCAAAUAGAGCAUGCUUGUACAAAGAAAGUUAUUGGAGGUACAGCUCUCCACCAUAAAAGUACAAGAGAAAGCAGAAACCUUACUAUGAAGAAGGUAUCUAUAACCUGUUGCACAACCACCUUAAGGAUCGAUCACUGAGACUUUACGAAGAAAUGUGAAGUCUGCAUGUUUAAGUAACCCUAUAGCUCUCUAAGGAGGUUAUUUUUUCUCAAUAAUACUUAAAGUUUAUGUUCCUAAAUGUAUGUUUAAGUAAACUAGACUGAUUAUUUCUUUUUAAGUGAUGCUACAGAUAGGCUUCCCCCUUUUCCCCCUACACCCUUAAUUUCUACCUUAGUAAGACUCUUAAAGACUAGGGCAAGGGUUAGCCAAAUGGAUUUAAGUGACUUGCCUAGGAUCACAUAGUUGGGAAGUGUAUGAGGCCAAAUUUGAAACUGGGUCCUCUCUGACUCCAGGCCUGAUUCAUAUUCCUAUUAUAUGGCAAUCACUUCUGACAUUCUAUAUUAUAGCUUAGUUUUUUGUGCCAUAUGAUAGGUUGGGUGGUGGAACUCUGAGGUAUCGUAUGAGCAAGAGGUCAUUUAAUGGUACAUUGCCCUUUCCAGUGAACUUCAUUCAGACAUGAUUAAUAGUGCUAUUACCUGAAACUACAUCUCUGAAGAAUGAGCUUAUCUCUUAUAUUGACUUAACAUCUUCCUGCCACAUGCUCCAGCUGCCCCAUUUGUACCAGAUGCUUUAUUUGUGAGUUCUGUCAAAAAGAGCAUCUUAUACAAAUGGGGUUGUUGGAAUAAAAGCCUAUAUAGUUGAAUGACCAAGAGUAAGCAAAGAUCUUGUUGGGAUUGGACCCAUAUUCAUCUCAAAAACAAUUUUGUUGAAUGGCUUUCUAUACUUUGCUGAAUUGUAAGUAGUCCUGAGGAGCCUCCUACGUCCCUUUGUAACAAAUUUCACCUUGGAACCACUCUUAAAUAUUGGUAAGUUGUGUUUUGUUUUGUUUUACCUUACCUUAUAUAAGGCCUGAAAUUGAGACUUCUAAAUGCAGGUCAAUAUAAAUUAACUUCAAUAACCAUUUAUUUCUCAACUCUUUUGUAAUUGAGUUUAAUUUUUGACAUGGGGAUGAUCUUAUUGACCAUGCAGUAACUGUGAUACAGGGAUCUCUUAUAUCAUGUGAUGAAUUGGAAAGGAAACUUUCAGAGAGAGAUUAUAAGUGAGAGAACCUUUAAUUUUGUUUAACUUGUUGUGUUUUAUAUACUAAUCUCAUUCAGAUGUGCUUGGAAGUGCUAUAGGCCACAACUGGUUCUUCUGGAAGGAUGAGCAUAACAAGGAUAUACCCAAUAAAUUCUCCACCUGCCCUAUUUGUACCAGAUGCUCCUUUUUCUGUAUUGUCAGAAAGAGCAUCCUGUGCAAAAGAGGUUGGUGGAGGCAAAAUACCACAUCUAGAAGAACAAGAGGAGACAAAUACUCAGGUAAUAUGAGAGUUACAUAACCUACUCUGUGACAUCUUUGUUGGUGAAUCAUUGUGAAUUUGUUUAUCCAUUUCCUAAAAUUGGAUAGCUUUAAACAUGAAGUUUGUGUUCCAAAUCAAACUUAAAUUUGGUAAUAGUCAAUGCAUGUUAUACUGGCAAAUGCCAUUUUUUAAAAAAAAACCCUUACCUUCUGUCUUAGACUCAAUACUGUGUAUUGGUUCCAAGGCAGAAGAGCAGUAAGGGCUGCGCAAUGAGGGUGAAGUGACUUGCCCAGGGUCACACAGCUGCGAAGUGUCUGAGGCCAGAUUGGAACUCAGGACCUCCCAUCUCUAGGCCUGGCUCUCCCAUCUGGCCCUGUAAAUGCCUUUUCAAGAUAAUUUUAUUGAAUUAGCUGUUCAUUUCUGAGCUAUUUUGUUUAUGGAAUAUUUCUUCAGAUAUGACUAUGGAGUAGUCGACUUCUAAAUCACUCUUUGAAGGAUUAGUACAAUUAAUAUAUAGUCCUACUUUUUCCUUCUACUUACUUCCAUUGCCUUCUUUGUACCAGAUGCUUUGUUGUAUAAAUACCAUCAAAUAGAGCAUUCUUGUAUAAAGGAAGUUGUUGGAAGUAAAACACUGUACAUUGAAGAACUUAAGAAGGCAAAGACCCAGCAAUGAAGGAUGUGUCCCAUAGCCUCUUCCCACAGCUCUCUAAGGAUUGAUCAUUGAGACUUUACUUAAAGACAUCCAGUGAAGAGGAGAAAUCUAUAGGCCUAAGCAGCCCACUCUUAUUUCUUAUAGCUCUUAAUAUAAGGAGCCUUUUUUCCUUUUGCAAUGCCUAAAGUUGACACUCUUGAAAGAAUGUUGAAGUGAAUUAAAUUGAUUAACUAUUUAUUUCUGAAUUGUGUUAUAGAAAAGUUUCCUUCUUUAUAUACUGGAAUGAACCCACAUUCCUCUUGGGUAACUCUCACCCCUGAAAUUCUGUGUGAUAGAAUGAAGGUUGUAAGAAAGAUACUCUCAGCAAUCUUAUACAUAAGAGUUGUUUUAAUAAGAGUGUUUUGUUUUCCAGUGAGCCACACUUAGACAUGGUCUGUGGUACUUAUAGUCUUAAGACUAGUGCUCUCAAAAGGAAGAACCUACCUAGUUUACAGACUUCCCUCUUCCUACCACAUACUCCUUCUGCCUCAUUUGUAUCAGAUGCUUUGUUUGUAUAUUCUAUCAAAAGAGCAUCUUAUACAAAUGUGGUUGUUGGAACAGAAGGUAAAAGGAAUAACCAAGAGUAAGCAGAGACAUUGACGGGAUGAAGAUCCAUAUUCAACUUAAAAACAGCCUGGUUUUGAGUGGUCUUCCAUACUUUGAUGAGCUUAACUGGUCCUGAGGAGCCUCCUGUAUGCCUUGGCAACCAAUUCUAUUUCAUAAUAGUUCUAAAUUGUGAUAAGUUUUUUUUCCUAAAUGUUAAGUAAUUCCAGUUUUGACACUCAUAAAUGCAUAUUGAAGUAUUUUAAAUAAAUAUUAUAUUUGUUUAUUAACUACUUUGUAAUUUGGCUACAUUUUUUUACAUAUUAGGCUGGAUUUAUUGACUUUAAAGGUCAGUAUAACAGAGGAAUCGCCUUUACUGUGUAAUAUUUUGAGGAAAAUUCUGAGGGAUCUUAUAAAAGUAACAAGACUUUUAAUGAUGUGUUUCGGUUUUCCUACCAACCUCAUUCAGACUCCCUUGGAAGUGCUCUAGUUUACAACUGGUUCUUCUGGAAGGUAAAAGGAUAAACAUAUAUCCAACCAUCUGCCAUCUGCCCUAUUUGCUCCAUUUAUGAUCUCUUUCAAAACAUCUUUUACAGAGAAAAACACAGUAGGAAUAGAAUACCACACCAGGAAGAACAAGGGAAAGCAGAGUAUCUGGUUUCAUUUAAUGAAAGUUAUAUUAUCCAUUCUGUCAUAUUCCUGCAUGGUGAUCAUUCCAACUUUAUUUAGCUAUUAAUCAAUAUUGAGCAGAUCAGAGUACAAGAAAGUUUGUAUCGCAAAUCAGGUUUAAUUUUUAUGUUUGUAAAUGUAUAUUUUACUGGUAAAAUGCUUGCUCAAGUUAGUUUAAUUGAAUUGGUCAUUCAUUUCUAAGCUGUUUGUUGGAUGAUAUCUUCAUAUAUGGCCAUGUGCUUAUUGGCCACUAAGGUCACUUCUGUUCUUAAAUGUUAUAUUGUGGAAUGGACUACCAUAUUAUUGGUUAUUAGGGUCAAUGAGGGAUUUCAAAUCCCUAGGAUUUCUCCUGAAGGUAUGGUUGAUUUUAUAGCCAUCUUUAUCCAGACAUAUAUCAUGUACAGUCUACUACAGUUGACAUACUCAAGAGGAUUCACACAACUAAUAUAUGCUCCUUCACUCUCCUGCCAUAUCCUCCACUUGCUUCCUUUGUACAAGAUGCUCUGUUUUGUAAAUAUCAUCAAAUAGAGCAUACUUGUGCAAAGGAAGUUAUUGGAGGUACAACUCUACCUUGAAGUACAAGAAAAAGCAGAAACUGCCGCAGAGAAGCAUUCCAUAGCCUGUCCUACAACCACCCUAAGGACUGUACAUGAAGGCUUUACGUUGAGAUGUCCAGUGAAGAGAAGUCUGCACACCAAAGUAGCUCGUUCUAGUUGAAUAACUCUAUAAGGAAGUUUUGUUUAAAAAAUGUUUAAAUUUGUCACUGCUAAUGAGUGUUGAAAUGAAUUAAUUUGAUUUGUUUCUGAAUUAUAUUAUAGAGGAGUUUCCUUCUUUACAUACUGGAAUUUACUGUACAUAUGGACUUGCCAUAUCUGUUAGCUAACCAUCACUUGUGACCUUCUCUAUCAAUAGCUUAGUUUCACUACUGGGUCCUGUAUACCAAAGAGAUCAUAAAAAGGGAGAAAGGUCCUACUUGUUCAAAAAUAUUUUAUAGCUGUUCUUUUUGUGUUGGCAAAGAACUGGGAAAUGGGGGAAUGCUCAUCCAUUGGGGAAUGGCUGAACAAAUUAUGGUAUAUGUUGGUGAUGGAGUUCUAUUGUGCUAUAAGAAAUGAUAAGCAGGAUAAUUUCAGAAAAAAGCUGGAAAGAUCUGUAGGAACCGAUGCAGAGUGAAACAAGCAGAAUCAAGAGAACAUUGACAAAGUAACACUAAUAUUGUGCAGUGAUCAACUGAAAAACUUAGCUACUCUCAGCAAUACAUUGAUCUGGGGCAAUUCUAAAGGACUUAUGACAAAAAAUGCUAUCCAGCUCUAGAGAAAGAACUGUUGGAGUCAAAUACAGAUCAAAACAUACUGCCACAUUAGUUUAUUUACAGUUUUAUUUUGGUGUUUUAGUUUUGUAUGAGUAUUCUCUUAAAACAAUGACCAAUAUAGAAGUUUUGCAUGAUACAUGUAUACAUGUAUAACCCAGAUCCAGUUGCUUACCAUCUCUGAGUAGGUAGAGGGAAGGAAGGGAGGGAGAAAGUUUGGAUUUUAUGAUUUUGGAAAAUGUAUUUUGAUACCUGUUAUUCCAUGUAAUUGUGAAAAUAAAAUAUCUCUGAAUUUUUUAAAAUAGCUUGGCUUCCUUUUAGUGUGCUAGGUUUAGAUGGCAGAAAUUCUGAUGUCCAUUUAGUAAUGUGCAUUUAAUUUUCCAGUGAAGCCACACUCAAGAUGAGGUCUGUUGGUACUAUAUCCUGUAACUAGUAUUCUCAAAAAAAGAGCUAAUUAGUACAUCAGCUUCUGUCUUCCAAAUGGUCCAUUUAUGAAUUCUGUCAAUCAUAGCAUCUUUUAAAAAUGAGUUAGCAAGGACUAAUAGCUGAAAUAUUAAGAAUUAGCAGAGGUUCUGUAGGGAUGAGGACUUCUAUUCAUUUCAACCAGGUUUAGUCGAUCCCUUUUUAAAGAGGUUUUCUUUUCUGUGGAUACUCUAAUAUAUAGAGCAUCUUAUGGAAAAGUGUUUUCAGAGCCAAACAUUGUACCUACUUUGAAGUGCAGGAGUAGGUGGAAGCCCUGCUGUAAAGAAGGUCCAUCCCAAGGUCUACAUCCAUCCAAAUGUACAUUCCUUGAGAAUUCAACCUAGUAAGGAUGAACCCUCUACUUAUCUAGAAAGCUUACUCUGCUUUUAAAUAACAUUAGGAAAGUUUUUCUUAAUACGUGAUGAAAUGAUGCAAAUUCAUUCUACCCUUGGUUAUAGAUGGGUUUUAUUCUUCAUAGAUCACAAUAGAUUCAUUUCCCUCAUGGAUAAUUAUGACUUCUAAGAUCCUAUGGCGAGUGGUCUCUUGCAAUGUGUCAUAGGCAGGAUAGGUUGGAAACAGAGAUCUUACAAUAAGACACCCUGUGGUUCUAUAGUCUACAAUUAGUACUCUCAAAUGGAUAAAGAUAGCUAGUAUAUACUUUUCUGUUCUCCCUACAUAUAUGUUCUACCUGCCUCAAUUUUACCAAAUACUCUAUUUGUGAAUUCUGUCAAAAACAUUUUGUGCAAACACAGUAGUUGGGGCAGAAUAUUUCACCUUAAAACAAGCUUAAGUUUUACUCACAAUGCUUAUUACAUUUAUUCUAAAUUGACCUUACAUUUCUUUUCUUUAUCAUUUAUAUGCAGGUUUCUUUUGGUAUGAGGAUGAAAUAUUUCUCUGAUGUCAGUUUCACUUCUGAAGUUCUACGUCUCAGGAUGUAUUUUCUCACUUCAUCGUAGGUUGGAUGAGGCAUAUUCUAUAAGAACAUGACUAAUCUGGAAACAUGUUUUACGUGACUGCACAUAUAUACCCUAUAAUAAAAUUGCUUACCAUCUCGAGGAAGGAAGAGAAUUUGGAACUAAAUUUUUUAAAUGGAUGUUAAAAAUAGUUUUUACUUGUUGGAAAAAAUAAAAAUUUUACAAUUU